GUAUAGCAAUAGCUAGUUGCAUCAUAGUAGAUAUGAUGCAAGAUCGACUAUGUUGAAUAAAAUUCUAGGUAGAAUUAUGAUAAUGACAUUGUCUGCCUAUGUGUCUUGACCAAAUUACGUGCCAGCAGUCGCGGUAAUACGUAGAAGACUAGUGUUAUUCAUGUUUAAUCGGUUUAAAGGGUACCUAGACGGUAGAUCAAGCUUUCUAAUAAAGGAAAAGGACUAGUUUACUAGAGUUACUUAUGAGGGGGUAUUAAAGUACUGCUGGUGUAGAGAUGAAAUUCUGUCAUACCUCUUUUCAAAAGAAAAACCAUGGCACAGGUAUAGGCGAAGGCAUCCCCUUAUGUGAUAACUGACGUUGAGGGACGAAGGCUUUGUGUAGCGAACAGGAUUAGAUACCCCAGUAGUCGAAGCAGAAAAUGAUGAAUGUCAUAGAUUAGAUAUAUAAGUUUAUUCUAUAAAUGAAAGUGUAAGCAUUCCACCUCAUGAGUAAUUUGGCAACAUUGGAACUGAAAUCAUUAGACCGUUUCUGAAACCAGUAGUGAAGUAUGUUGUUUAAUUUGAUGUCCCGCAAAAAACCUUACCACAAUUUGAAUAUUUAUAUUGUUUAUUGUUUUAUUAUUAAUUUUCUUGAAGAAAAUUAAGAAAAAAGCAAUAAGAUAUAAUUACAAGCGUUGCACGGCUGUCUUCAGUUAAUGUCGCGAGACUUUGGUUAGUUCCAUUAAAUUAACGUAAACCCUUACUUUAUUUUUAUAUAGAGUAGUUCCCCGCUAUAUUGGAUAU
rnacentral:rRNA from 1 species